AGUGAACGCUGGCGGUAGGCCUAACACAUGCAAGUCGAACGGCAGCACAGUAAGAGCUUGCUCUUACGGGUGGCGAGUGGCGGACGGGUGUGGAAUACAUCGGAAUCUACUUUUUCGUGGGGGAUAACGUAGGGAAACUUACGCUAAUACCGCAUACGACCUACGGGUGAAAGCAGGGGAUCUUCGGACCUUGCGCGAUUGAAUGAGCCGAUGUCGGAUUAGCUAGUUGGCGGGGUAAAGGCCCACCAAGGCGACGAUCCGUAGCUGGUCUGAGAGGAUGAUCAGCCACACUGGAACUGAGACACGGUCCAGACUCCUACGGGAGGCAGCAGUGGGGAAUAUUGGACAAUGGGCGCAAGCCUGAUCCAGCCAUACCGCGUGGGUGAAGAAGGCCUUCGGGUUGUAAAGCCCUUUUGUUGGGAAAGAAAAGCAGCAGGUUAAUACCCCGCUGCUCUGACGGUACCCAAAGAAUAAGCACCGGCUAACUUCGUG
rnacentral:rRNA from 1 species